GUAGUACACCGACGGUUUGGUCAUACAGUUCGCAAACGGUUAUCUCCGCUCCCUCGUACACACACACGCGCACACACACACACGACACACACACACGCACACUUUCGCAUACGCUCAUACAAACACAGACGCACACCUGUCGUACAGCAGCAUCUUCUCGCCGAGUUAUAUCCACCACGCGUACAAGCCUAGGGGGUAGAAUAAGGGGCUACGCUUUCUUACAUUCGAUGGCGACGUGGAGAACCGGCUGGAGACAAAUGAGAGAGUAACAAAUGAAGAUACAGAAACAGCAAUAACGUUUUAAAACGAAAAGCUCGGUUUUUCCGAGGUGACUAAAUGUCUCGAGAGUGAAAAAUUUUUCGUCGUUGUGAACUAAUCGCGACAAUGAAUUGGCGAUCGGCAAGAGAGAACGUUUGGAGGUCACCGUUGAACCGGUGAGAGAGAGCGAAAAGUAGAUGGUCGGAGGCGGAGAGAAUGGUAGAAACAAGUGCGUGUAGAGUGAUAAACCGUUAACGUCAUCGAUUCUAGUCGAGUGAUCCGAUCGUCUGUCGGUUCUGCUGCAGCUCCUGAUUUAUCAACAAGGCGGACCUGCUUCCGUGAAGAGUUUCCUUUCCUUACAUCGGCACCCCGACAUCGUGUACCAGAAAGAACACCACCACUCGAGUAUGCCAAACACUAUCACCUGGGGAGGUUUGGCGAACGUCGAGUGGUUGCGACGCAUAAAUACGGACGAGGAACGUUAUUAGGAAUCUAUAAUCAACAGGUCGGGCGUCCGACUCCAAGUCUGUUCAACAAGUCGGCCGUACCUGCUCAAACUUCGAUACUCCCGACGACGUUCGUUUUGGAAAAGCAAAUAAGGGCGAAAAAGCGAAUGAAACACACACAGCGACACCGACGACUAGCUGGGUUAUAAGUACGGUGCACCUUCGAUCCGGCUCGAAACGACUUUGGAAGGGAAUUUCGGCAGAGGUGGUGCUACACCGGUUCGAGGAAGUAUACCCAACGGAUCUUGCACAACGUCUGGUGGGAAAUCUAAGGCUUAACGGAAACUACACUUUCAGAAAGCUGCGGCAACAACGCCGGGAGAAGUGUAUACGUGUGGGAUGAGGCAAAAAAAAAAAAAAAAAUCAACGGAGCUUCAACGAGGGAAGUUUAGGCGACUUUUUUU
rnacentral:lncRNA from 1 species